AAUGACACUUUUUUAUUUUCAAAUGCAUUUUUCGAAGUUGUGAGUCAAAUCUGAAUAAUAGAUUCAAAUAUGGAUCGCGAUUCUUAUCUUCAAUCUUUAUCCCCACACCCCGGACAUUUGGUCAUCAAUUAGUCGACCGCUCCACACGACAACAACCAAUCCACCCAAAGGCUAACGGGCACACGGGAUCUCUUGAACCCGUUUACAAUCGAUAGCGAUUGCCCUCUUCCUUAAGUGCUACUCAUUAGCUGCAGAGCCCCAUAUCCUGAGGCCGUCAAGUAUUGAUCUAAUGGGCUGAUUGGAAGUUUCCCCUUCUGUCUGUGCGUGUGCGUGCGUGCGUGCGUGCGUGCGUCAGCGACUGUGGUCUCCAAGGUAUCGGAUCAUUUUCCCCCCUUCCGGCCCGACAACUGUUCCGGUCCAUGGGACACAAACGCGCUGUCUCUGUGUGUGUCUCUGUGUGUCUCUUUGUGUGUCUCUUUGUGUGUGUGUGUGUGUGUGUCUGUGUCUCUGUGUGUGUGUGUCUCUUUGUGUGUGUCUCUGUCUCUUUGUGUGUGUCUCUGUGUCUCUUUGUGUGUGUCUCUGUGUCUCUUUGUGUGUCUCUGUGUCUCUUUGUGUGUGUGUGUGUGUCUCUGUGUGUGUGUGUGUGUGUGUGUGUGUGUGUGUGUCUGUGUGUGUGUGUGUGUGUCUCUGUGUGUCUCUCUGUGUGUGUCUCUGUCUCUCUGUCUCUCUCUCUCUAUGUGUGUCUCUCUCUGUGUGUCUCUCUCUGUGUGUCUCUCUCUGUGUGUCCCUCUCUGUCUCUCUCUCUGUGUGUCUGUGUCUCUGCGUGUCUCUCUCUGUGUGUCUCUGUUCAUGCGGAGCGGCGGAGCUGGGGUAUCUGCGUGUCCAAUGGGACAUGUGCUACAUGGGGUUUCCGGUGACGGGUCUGUCUGGGAGCCGUCCCGUCCAGCUGCUGCUCUGCUCAUGGCUGUCGGGUCUCCCCGGGGACGCGGGGUACAUUCUGCCUUACAGCAGGGCCC